rnacentral:rRNA from 1 species
AGUGAACGCUGGCGGUAUGCCUAACACAUGCAAGUCGAACGGCAGCACAGUAAGAGCUUGCUCUUACGGGUGGCGAGUGGCGGACGGGUGAGGAAUACAUCGGAAUCUACUUUUUCGUGGGUGAUAACGUAGGGAAACUUACGCUAAUACCUCAUACGACCUACGGGUUAAAGCAGGGGAUCUUCGGACCUUUCGCGAUUGAAUGAGCCGAUGUCGGAUUAGCUAGUUGGCGGGGUAAAGGCCCACCAAGGCGACGAUCCGUAGCUGGUCUGAGAGGAUGAUCAGCCACACUGGAACUGAGACACGGUCCAGACUCCUACGGGAGGCAGCAGUGGGGAAUAUUGGACAAUGGGCGCAAGCCUGAUCCAGCCAUACCGCGUGAGUGAAGAAGGCCUUCGGGUUGUAAAGCCCUUUUGUUGGGAAAGAAAAGCAGCAGGUUAAUACCCCGCUGUUCUGACGGUACCCAAAGAAUAAGCACCGGCUAACUUCGUG